rnacentral:rRNA from 1 species
UACGUAGGGAGCAAGCGUUGUCCGGAAUCAUUGGGCGUAAAGCGCGCGUAGGCGGCCUCAUAAGUCCGUUGUGAAAGUCAAAGGCUCAACCUUUGAAAGCCGAUGGAUACUGUGAGGCUAGAGUACGGAAGAGGCGAGUGGAAUUCCUGGUGUAGCGGUGGAAUGCGCAGAUAUCAGGAGGAACACCAAUGGCGAAGGCAGCUCGCUGGGACGGUACUGACGCUGAGGCGCGAAAGCGUGGGGAGCAAACAGG